rnacentral:rRNA from 1 species
UACGUAGGGUGCGAGCGUUAAUCGGAAUUACUGGGCGUAAAGCGUGCGCAGGCGGUGAUGUAAGACAGAUGUGAAAUCCCCGGGCUCAACCUGGGAAUGGCCGUUGAAACUGGCGAACUGGAGUGUGGCAGAGGGGGGUGGAAUUCCGCGUGUAGCAGUGAAAUGCGUAGAGAUGCGGAGGAACACCGAUGGCGAAGGCAGCCCCCUGGGCUGACACUGACGCUCAGGCACGAAAGCGUGGGGAGCAAACAGG